GUGCCUUAAACUAAUGAGUAAGGAAAAUACAGAGCCCUGGUGACGCUUGGCUCCGCUAAUACAAAUUAGUUUUUCCAAUUUUUGAAGGGGUUCAGGUCGUCCUCUGGAGUCUCGCCUACUUUCGCGGGACAUCGGAGUGUAGCGAUCUACCCU